AUCUGGGCGGCGGAAUUCAGGAUGGUCGUGUUCGCGCGCGGCCGUUUGAUAUUUCCGUCGCCGUGUCGGACGUCGCGACCUGUUCGCCAGUCGGUCCCUGCUCGGAGGAAUCGCGAUCGAGCUCGUUGCGCGGUACGUUUCGGCGUGUCGCGCGGCGAAGACGCGACUUCUCUGGCUGACGGCGGACAGUAAGCAACGGUGUCCGGCGUCGUGUCUCGCACUCGACGUCCGGUGCCGGUCUGCGACGAUUUCUUCGGGCCUCUUUCCGACCCGUCUUGAAACACGGACCAAGGAGUCUAACAUGCGCGCGAGUCGCGGGGCAUCGAGCGUACCACGGUGCGCUCGUCAUAUGCGAAACCCGUCUCUGAAAGGCGUAAUGAAAGUGAACAGGGAAGAUGGCGUUCCGAGACCACGUACCGUGAUCGAGUGUCGCGGCCGGACGUCCGCACUCCCGGGGCGUCUCAAUGGCUCGUCGCGGACGCGGACGAUCGUCUCUCCGGGGACGGUGGUCGGUCUGCGUCGGACCGA
rnacentral:rRNA from 1 species